AUUGCACGCUGGCGGCAGGCCUAACACAUGCAAGUCGAACGAGUGGCGGACGGGUGAGUAAUGUCUGGGAAACUGCCUGAUGGAGGGGGAUAACUACUGGAAACGGUAGCUAAUACCGCAUACCAUCGGAUGUGCCCAGAUGGGAUUCGCUAGUAGGGGGGGUAAAGGCUCACCUAGGCGACGAUCCCUAGCUGGUCUGAGAGGAGGACAAGCCACACUGGAACUAGGACACGGUCCAGACUCAUACGGGAGGCAGCAGGGGGGAAUAAUGCACAAUGGUCGCGAGCCUGCUGCAGCCAUGCCGCAUGUAUGAAGAAGGCCUUCGGGUUGUAACGUACUUUCAGCGGGGAGGCGUUACCCGCAGAAGAAGCACCGGAUAACUCCGUGCCAGCAGCGGCGGUAAUAC
rnacentral:rRNA from 1 species